UGGAGAUUGGUGACCCUGCAUGUGGCAGGGGGGUUUGGAGCUUGAUGGUCCCUUCCAACACAAACCAUUCAAUGAUUCCUGCCACCUUUAGCUUGGAAGUUCUUCAGUGUCAUUAACUUGUAUUACUGCUGUUGUGCACCAGCAUUGAGGAGACUGAAACUGUUGGUUGGAGACACUUGUGAAGCCUUUGCUGUUGGGUGGAAUGGGACAAGCAUGUUGAUGUGGCUGUUCUCUUUAGCUGAGACUGGUUUUAAUCAGAGCUUUAAAGUUUUGUAACUUAACAGCUUAUGUUCGUGCAUAACAAAUGUAAUUUCUUUUUUAAACAGAAUCGAGCCGUUUUCAGAUUUGAUCCAGCAGAUGAAGAUAAAAGAAAGACCUACAGUGGCAAGAGAAUCGCAGCGUUGUUGUGGCCUGGAAACUUCUGGCAGCACUGACUUCCUGGUUAACCAGGGCGUGCAGCUGGAAGGAGCUGAGCAUCGUUUCGCUGGGUGAUGGAACAGAGUUAAUCUGUCCAAGGUGGUAAGCAAGGCUGGCUUUUAAAUUGGCUGAAGAUGCUGAAUUUGAGAGGGGGAAAAAAGAAAAAGCAAGCAGCAACCAAAUGUAAGAGCAUUAUUCAUGAGCUAUAUUCUUACCUGAAAUUACAGGGGAUUUAUGAUUUAUGUAUUUCCUCUUACAUUUUGUCUGCUUCACCGCUGGUAUUACUUGAAGCACUCGGUUUUCGCAUUACAAAAACAGAAUGGAAGUGUUGAUAAUCAGUUUGACAAUUCUUCUCCUGUUGUUAUGAGAAAGCUGUCUCCAGCUUCCUGUGUUGGGUCAGCCUUGUGACAUACAAAUCUCAAGUCAGAAUAUCUCUGUGUGUUUGUAACUUAUUGCUCAGGUUGAGUUCGAGCAUAAUAGAUCUGAAACUGAAGCCUUCUAUAGUGGACAAAAAUUUCCAUAACAGCCUCCUCACACUGCUGAAUCUUUUAAAGGUGUCAGAAUCGAUGAUGCUAAAUCCACAAAUGUGUUGUGGGACUCUCCCUGCUGCUUAAAUUAACAGUGUUGAGAGAUUCCUUAAGGCUGUGGGCUGUACUGCAUUUGAACUUUGGAAGGAUGGAAGCAGUAAAGUAUGUUGAUGUAGCAAGAUGCUGUAAUACGUAAUAUAAAAACACAACCUUGUUGAUAGACAGUGCUGUUGGCACUGUGACACUUCUGGGAGGUCUGAAGGAUCCUGCAGGCACAAAGACAUGGAGCUGCUUUGCUCCCAAUAACUUCAGUGCAAGCUUUUAAGGUCUGCUGGUGAGAGUCCUAUAAAAAUAUUAAGCUUAGGCUCUCCUGUGGGUGUGCUGUGGUAUCCCAGUAUUAAUUGUUGUUCUGACUUCUCUGAAAUCCCUUAAGGGAGCACCAGUCUGUAAGGGAGAAGUUACAGAGUAUCCUUUAUUAGUGAUAAGGAUUUGUUCCAAUUCCUUCUGGUCCUGCCCUGUCCCACUCAGCAUUCUUCUCUUUUUGACUUGUCUUACAUUUUAUGUUAAGCCAGUGAAACUCAUCUCUCCUUUAAAACCCUUCUUUAACCACUGGAUUACAGAGGCUGAACAGGUCUUUCCCUCUCCCUUUUCAAGAGGGAGAAAAGCAGGAAUGUAUGAGUGCAUCUUUGUCAAAUUUCACCUCACCUCUCUGUGACGGAUGGAAGGAACACACCUGGUUUGGUUCUUGACAGCACCAUUUACAGUGUACACUCCUGACCUUACUUACAGAGUGCCACCCCGCCUGGGCUCAAGUGCUCAGACCUGCAGCUUGAACCUCUGCCAAAGAGGUCAACCUCCUGCUGUCAGCACAGGCUGAAUGAUGAGAUUUCAAAGCAAAGCUGACUGAAUCCCCAAGGAGUGUCAGUGUACACUCUCCCCCACAGGAGUCUUAUUGGCAAAGGCCAGGCAAAAAUUGGGUAUGGCCUUCUCAGAGAAGGUUAGCUAGAUCUCUCUUUAUUCAAUAUAUUUGGAUUUAAGCAUUAGAUGAUAUUGUCCUGGCUUCCUGAGAAAAUGAAACAUGGAACCAUUUCAAAUACACUUAAGCUUACUUUCUUAAUGCCUUGGAUGACUGACUGGGAAACAUAAUGGCAAAAUAAAAUGAUUAACUUUAAUGCUGCUUCUCUUAGCAGAAAUGAUCAGCCAACGUCUUACUAAGCAGUUCCUUGUUAUGCCUCUCUGAUCCUGAAAUCUUAGCUCUGAUUUGCCAAAAGCAUCAUUUCUCUACAAUGCUUUUUUUUUGUAGUCUAGUGAAAAUUUAACAAACAAACAAAAAAAACAGAAAACAAUUUUGUGUUACGCGAGAAGCACUUUUGUUUUAAAGGAAGCUGAAUAACGAGGAGAGCUACACAGACCUACAGCUGUGAAAACUCACAUCCAGUUUGUCAUAGCUUUUGCUAAUGUUUUUUAUCUGCAUGUGUAGAUGCUGCUGUGAACUUUCAUGCUCAUAGCAAUGUAGAAAAUAAGUCUGAGGAACAGAUAGCAGUAUACAAAUGAGGUUAGCAAUAGCAGAGCUGUGUGACCAGUUGAGUAGAUGCAUUUGCUUGGGAACAUCUUUGUCACCAGAUAGCUGCAGAAGUAGGCUGAGUUAUGUGCUUCUAUCGAGAGAGAAUUAAACUGAGAUUUGAAAAUGAUGAAAACCAUGUUUCAGAAGAUGAAGGUGAGCUAGAAUGAUUCCAGUCUGUGCAGGAGAAGGAAAGCGUGACUUGAUGGCACAUGCCAUUUAUUUAGGAAAAUGGGAACAUCGUGUGCUCUGACCUCAUAAUCUUUGUUAAAGCCAAAGACAUUGCAGCUUCUGGUUCACCAGUGCUGAGACAGUAAGCAUACACUCACUACAAUGUCUGUGACUUUUAUUUCUCAGCUCUCAAAGAAGGAUGACGAGGACUAAUUCCAUUCUGUGUCCAGUUCUUAAAAAACUAAUGUUUUGUUUUUAAGCUCAACCUCAAAAGUAUGGUUAAAAAAGAAGGAAUAAAAUAAGUCUGCUGUGCUCACGUUGUUCCACAUGUGGUAUUGCUCCUGUUCUGUCAAGAUGGUUGUGUUUAUACCUUGGAAUACACAAAGAAGUCCUAAGAACACUUGACCUGAAAAUAAGUGAAGAUGUUAUAAAAUCAGGCACAUUUCCUGUGUUCUGCUACUGUAGAACUUGAAUUCUCGAUGGACUCUUCUGCCAGUUCUCUUAGGAAUGUGCACUGCUACUAAGGAAAGUGGAAAAUGGAAAGAAGAAACAUUUUUUUUUCCUUGCUUUAAAUGUGAGUGAUAAGCAUAACUCUUGUGGUACUUACAGAAUAUAUGGCAGACUACAAAAUAAAAAUGUAAAGCUCUCA